rnacentral:rRNA from 1 species
UACGUAGGGGGGCUAGCGUUGUCCGGAUUUAUUGGGCGUAAAGAGCGUGUAGGCGGCUUUACAGGUCCGUUGUGAAAACUCGAGGCUCAACCUCGAGACGCCGGUGGAAACCGUAAAGCUAGAGUCCGGAAGAGGAGAGUGGAAUUCCUGGUGUAGCGGUGAAAUGCGCAGAUAUCAGGAGGAACACCCGUGGCGAAAGCGGCUCUCUGGGACGGUACUGACGCUGAGACGCGAAAAGCGUGGGGGAGCAAACAGG